AUGGUAGAGGUCUCCGAUAACAAGAACAUAACCGGUUUGGGUUUCCAGCAAGGUUGUCAACUGUCAGGUCUGAUGAUGCGCAACUCAGCUUCUGUAGCGGAGGGUUCAUUAUGGCAAUGAACAACACUUAGAUGAUGUGCUAAAGGAUGACGAAGAGGAAGACUUCACCAAUUUUGUGACGCAUGGAAAAGCUUGCAACAAUUGGACUGUUGUUGAUAUUCCUG
rnacentral:lncRNA from 1 species